UUAGGCGGACGGGUGAGUAACGCGUGGGUAACCUGCCUUGUACUGGGGGACAACAGUUGGAAACGACUGCUAAUACCGCAUAAGCGCACAGCUUCGCAUGAAGCAGUGUGAAAAACUCCGGUGGUACAAGAUGGACCCGCGUCUGAUUAGCUGGUUGGUGAGGUAACGGCCCACCAAGGCGACGAUCAGUAGCCGGCCUGAGAGGGUGAACGGCCACAUUGGGACUGAGACACGGCCCAA
rnacentral:rRNA from 1 species